UACGUAGGGGGCUAGCGUUAUCCGGAAUUACUGGGCGUAAAGGGUGCGUAGGUGGUUUCUUAAGUCAGAGGUGAAAGGCUACGGCUCAACCGUAGUAAGCCUUUGAAACUGGGAAACUUGAGUGCAGGAGAGGAGAGUGGAAUUCCUAGUGUAGCGGUGAGAUGCGUAGAUAUUAGGAGGAACACCAGUUGCGAAGGCGGCUCUCUGGACUGUAACUGACACUGAGGCACGAAAGCGUGGGGAGCAAACAGGAUUAGAUACCCGGGUAGUCCCUGAG
rnacentral:rRNA from 1 species